UACGUAGGGUGCGAGCGUUAAUCGGAAUACUGGGCGUAAAGCGUGCGCAGGCGGUGAUGUAAGACAGAUGUGAAAUCCCCGGGCUCAACCUGGGAACUGCAUUUGUGACUGCAUCGCUGGAGUGCGGCAGAGGGGGGAUGGAAUUCCGCGUGUAGCAGUGAAAUGCGUAGAUAUGCGGAGGAACACCGAUGGCGAAGGCAAUCCCCUGGGCCUGCACUGGACGCUCAUGCACGAAAGCGUGGGGAGCAAACAG
rnacentral:rRNA from 1 species